AAAUGCUACGAGGCUCGAUGCACAAACGGUGUUAUGACUAUACACAGCAUCAGCUCCGGCUGCGGAUGCUGCAAGCAAGGCAACAAGGUGUACGCUCCUGGCGCUGAGAUAUUUGCGGGAGGAUACAGAAAGAAGUGCCAGUCGGGUGGUAGCUGGCUAUACAUACCGUUACCGACAAUCAGUGCAGCAACAAUGCAUCAAGAUAAAACUGUAUACAUCGAACGCCUGCCAGCUGGCCGCAGAUGAGGCAGUCUCU